UAAACAGCCCUGCAGACUGACAUCCUUAAUUUCUCCACAGAGCAUGCACAGCCUGGGAAGCAGGAGUGCAAACUUCCCUGCACUGUCCCACCAAUCGGCAUCGGCAUGUUCUGGACAGACUCCGCGGAGAUGAGCCUUCAUUCUCCAGGCCCAUUCCAGCCUGGCCCUG
rnacentral:sRNA from 1 species